UCACUCGUGCAUCACCAAGAAUACCACAUUCAAGUCCACCAUUGAUUAUGUACAAAAUUAUACACUAAUCGAACACUGUUGGACUUCUUGUUGAAACUUUGAAGCAUAGAAAAUACUUCUAUGACUAAAGACCUUUGUGGCAAUAAGGAUAGAAAACUUAUUUGGUGCUUUUGUGGUUUUGAAUUCAAUAAAAUAAAAGAGAAGAUUUUAGUAUAGAGAUAAUAUUUCUUUUAGAGCAAACUAUGAGCUCAUUAUCGCUAUCCAAUAUAUCUGAAUGUUUGAAGAA